UAAUCCUCCGCCGCCGCCAUUCGCCACCACCAUCAUCUUCCACUACAGUGGUCGACCGAAGCUCCGGGGAGAAUGGAAGAGCCAAGGGAUGCUCGGCUACGACGGAAGCAGAGAUUUCCACCGGCGAUGAUUGCUCGAUUUGGGAGCGGUGCAGGAAAAUGUAGUUUGUGUGAUUGAUUAGAGAUUGACACAUGGACAUGGCUUGCUUCGGUUGGGCCUAGCGCAAGCUCUCCGACACACCCACACAAACACCAUUCAUUAAACAAGUUCAAUACACGACAUGGCUGUGUGCGAAAACCACACCCCAGGAAAAGUAAUGCUACUUGGGAUAACCAGCAAUCAAUCAACAACUGAAAGAAGAAACAAUUGAUUUCUUCGGCUUGAGGGGUUAACCAGAAGCAAGGCAGAUAGGAGUCCAAGGCGCUACCUCUGGAAGGAGGAAGUUGGCAGCACAGCUUGGCUGCUGCAAACUGCUUCAGGAACAGACAGCAUUUGGCAUCAAGUUUCAGCACCAUCUGCCGGGUAGAGGCCGGCCAAGUUGUAAGGAUCAAGCUGCCUGGUUCGGUAGAGAAGUUGACCCCGACUCUACAAAGUCUUUGGACUAAAAUCGCCAGACCUAAAUACAACCCAAGUACAAGAUCAAAGCAAGAAAAGGAAAGGUGUUUGUUUUAAGGAGGCGAGUUACCCGAUAGGAGGAUGUGGAUAGUGUAUUGGUUUGUGCAUCUGUCAAGGUGUGCCCGGACAGUCUCCUCCGGAAGGGAGCCAAAAAGGAUGGCGUAGAUAUCCUUGAUAAUGCUCAGGGCAAUUUUUUUAACAACAAAGGGCUCAUUCUCAAACACUAAUCUAUUUCUAGCUGACCACAAAUGAUAGGUGGUAGAAGGUAAGAUGGGUGUUAAUGCUUUCCGGUAAAUUGUCGAGCCCUUCCCCUUUUCAUACUAAGUAGAGUGGUCACUGAAUGGCUGAUUUUUGCCCAUUCUCUAAUGUACAGCCAAACUUUGGCAGUUCCUGCACAAGAAAAAAAGAGGUGGGAGUUAGAUUCCAUUUCUUUAUUACAAAUACAGCAGACUUUAGAUAUAGGUUUAUAGUUAAUUCGGUCAGCUGUCAGUUAGUGAUCAUUUUCAUCUGCUUGAUGUUGGCAACCAGAAUAUUUAAGCAAUUUCUCCUUCAUCUCA